rnacentral:rRNA from 1 species
ACAUAGCUUUCAGCAAAAGGUCAAAGGCCAGAAGUAUUGAAGGUGAGGCCUGCCCAAUGAUUGUAUCCAAAACCAUGUAAUAAACGGAAAGUUACUUGGGUAAGGACAAUUAAAUGGCCGCGGUAAAUUUGACCGUGAUAAUGUAGCGCAAUCAAUAGCCAAUUAAUUGUUGGCAAGUAUGAAUGGCUUAACGAAUGCCCCGCUGUCUCAAGAUAAAAACCAAUGAAAUUGAAAUCGUAGUGAAGAUGCUACGUACAAGUUGUUAGACGAGAAGACCCCAUUGAGCUUUACUGGAGGCUUAUAUUGUUUUUUGUAAUUUUAAUUGUGUAGAUUAUGUGGGAAAACGGUACUAUUAUCAUCAUAUGAAAAACCACUCUUUAAUAAAAUGGGAACUUAAUUAUAAACUUUGAAAAGUUUAAGUCAGACAGUUUGGUUGGGGCGACCGCCUUCUAAAGAGUAACGAAGGUGUGCAUAAGGUAAAUAAUAUAAUAGUAUAUUAAUAAAAGCCUGACAGAGAGGAGGACCUCCGAGCUGACACGGAUUGGUUUAUACUAUGAGCCGGUUUCUGGCUUACCUCUGUGAGCUAUAAUGACCCGUUAGUCAAGGGUGGAAUUGCUAACGAGCAACGAAUAAAAGUUACCAUGGGGAUAACAGCGUAAUAUCGUUCGAGAGUUCAUAUCGACGACGAUGUU